rnacentral:lncRNA from 1 species
CUGCGAUCGGUUUCGGAGACCUUAAUUAAAACACUACAGCUAUGCAUGCCUUUAGGAUGCUUAAACAUGUGACUGUGAGAGGGUAGAUGUAUACACUCUUAUUUGGAUCUUUCCAAUAGUAGAAGAAUGGCUGUCAUGGCCACCCUUCUAUUCAUUUUUCCUAAAGAGUUGGAUACAACUGCAACUCUGACUCUUGCAAAGUUGUAAUUAUGAGGGUAAGGUUUUCUCUUAAAAUAAUCUGGCUAUGCUGAAUCAGAGUACCUAAUAAGUAUUCUAUUACCUUGGUAUGUUCCCAUUGAUCCUGAUUUAUU